CACAAUGACUACAAUGACAUUCAUCAUCUUGAUUUUGAUCUUAUGGAUGUAUUUUCAAGGUUCUGCAGGACAGGUGACUGUAAUUCAGACUCCAACAGAGAAACAUGUUCAGAACGGACAAACGGUCACUCUGACCUGUAAAACCAGCAGCUCCAUUGGACGCCAGUCAGAUGGAGACUGUAAGUCUUGUGUCUCCUGGUACUUACAGAAACCUGGAGAAGCUCCUAAACUUUUAGUUCACAGCAUCAAAACCCUUCAUACUGGAACUCCAUCUAGAUUCAGUGGAAAUGGAGCUGAUUAUGGAACUGAUUUCUGUCUGACCAUCAGUGGAGUCCAGACUGAAGAUACAGGACAUUAUUACUGUCUGAGUUACCACUGGAUCAACAGUAAAGCUGUGUUCACACAGUGAUAAAGAGUCAUACAAAAACCUC